UGAUUUACCCGACGCCUGCUCGUGUUUUGAUCACAUCUACAUGCUGGGUCCAUGCCUAUUCCCCAUUCUGCUGUUGUUACCGUGCACCACGUGGCGGUCUGUCUCCUGGGAGUGGACAUGUUUUACACCAAAUAGAGAAAAAGCCAGUACUAAUUGAAAACUUACAACACAGUGUCUCUUACUUUUUCGACAUUCCUUGGCAAGCUCUGAUCAGUUUCCCUGCCAGCUUAGUGAGGCCUUUGGAGUACGUAAGUUCAAGCUCAGCUCUUAAGCGGGAAAGGUUGCAGCAAAGGACAAUGACUGAGUCAAAAUCUCCUUCUGGAUGGUUUUAGGGACUGUCUGCUGGACAGCUGUAAAGACAUCAGUCUUUCUUAAGAUUGUGUAAGCUAUGGUGCGACCAUAACAUAACAUGUCUGUAUGAAGAGUUGUUUUUGUCAUUUUCUGAGAAAAUGAAACCUUGUCUUUCAUUGGCUGUAAGCCAUAACCAAUUAAAUCAAAGUUUGAAAUAUGUCACCCUGUGUUUAAUUGAUGUAUAAAAUAUAUGUUUCACUGAAUUACUGAUUUAGACUAACUUUUCCACAUCUAUUUUGAGCUGUACAAUCAACACAAAUUAAAUUAGAACAGCUGAUGAAGACAAAGACAUCAGGUACAGCCUCUCUUUGCAGCGACAAAUGGUUCUUUUGAGGAUCUGUGUUAAACUCAUCCCUGGUUUGCUCCUUGCAAACAAGCAGCCUGUGAAACAUCCUCCAGAUACUGAAGUCAUGGCAACAACUUUAAAAAUGGUGCAACGGAGAAAUUCACCAAAGUGAAGAAUCAUUAGAGUGCGGUGCGAAAUCAACAGCAGAUAACUAAGUGAUGCAGGCUGGUUUGCAUAUUUUAAAACCAGCAUACAUGCCACAAAUGCUUUGUUGUAUAAAAUAUCCAUGUUAUUUAAAUGCUGUGUUGAGAUAAAAAUGUAUAGCCUAAAUAUCAUUCGGGGGAUGUUUAAGAGCUGCUAUCACAAGCAAAAGUGGAAAAAAAAGAAGCAAAAAAA